ensembl:miRNA let-7 miscRNA
UACACUGUGGAUCCGGUGAGGUAGUAGGUUGUAUAGUUUGGAAUAUUACCACCGGUGAACUAUGCAAUUUUCUACCUUACCGGAGACAGAACUCUUCGA